rnacentral:rRNA from 1 species
AUUGAACGCUGGCGGCAGGCCUAACACAUGCAAGUCGAGCGGUAACAGGAAAUAGCUUGCUAUUUUGCUGACGAGCGGCGGACGGGUGAGUAACGCGUAGGAAUUUGCCCAGUAGUGGGGGAUAGCCCGGAGAAAUUCGGAUUAAUACCGCAUACGCCCUAAGGGGGAAAGCAGGGGAUCUUCGGACCUUGCGCUAUUGGAUAAGCCUGCGUGAGAUUAGCUAGUUGGUGAGGUAAGGGCUCACCAAGGCGACGAUCUCUAGCUGGUCUGAGAGGAUGAUCAGCCACACUGGAACUGAGACACGGUCCAGACUCCUACGGGAGGCAGCAGUGGGGAAUAUUGCACAAUGGGCGAAAGCCUGAUGCAGCCAUGCCGCGUGUGUGAAGAAGGCUCUAGGGUUGUAAAGCACUUUCAGUAGGAGGAAAAGUCGAUAGUUAAUACCUAUCGGCCGUGACGUUACCUACA